CCAUGCAAGUCGACGAUGAAGCCCAGCUUGCUGGGUGGAUUAGUGGCGAACGGGUGAGUAACACGUGAGUAACCUGCCCUUGACUCUGGGAUAAGCGUUGGAAACGACGUCUAAUACCGGAUACGAGCUUCCACCGCAUGGUGAGUUGCUGGAAAGAAUUUUGGUCAAGGAUGGACUCGCGGCCUAUCAGCUUGUUGGUGAGGUAACGGCUCACCAAGGCGACGACGGGUAGCCGGCCUGAGAGGGUGACCGGCCACACUGGGACUGAGACACGGCCCAGACUCCUACGGGAGGCAGCAGUGGGGAAUAUUGCACAAUGGGCGAAAGCCUGAUGCAGCAACGCCGCGUGAGGGACGACGGCCUUCGGGUUGUAAACCUCUUUUAGCAGGGAAGAAGCGAAAGUGACGGUACCUGCAGAAAAAGCACCGGCUAACUACGUGCCAGCAGCCGCGGUAAUACGUAGGGUGCAAGCGUUGUCCGGAAUUAUUGGGCGUAAAGAGCUCGUAGGCGGUUUGUCGCGUCUGCUGUGAAAUCCCGAGGCUCAACCUCGGGUCUGCAGUGGGUACGGGCAGACUAGAGUGCGGUAGGGGAGAUUGGAAUUCCUGGUGUAGCGGUGGAAUGCGCAGAUAUCAGGAGGAACACCGAUGGCGAAGGCAGAUCUCUGGGCCGCUACUGACGCUGAGGAGCGAAAGGGUGGGGAGCAAACAGGCUUAGAUACCCUGGUAGUCCACCCCGUAAACGUUGGGCGCUAGAUGUGGGGACCAUUCCACGGUUUCCGUGUCGUAGCUAACGCAUUAAGCGCCCCGCCUGGGGAGUACGGCCGCAAGGCUAAAACUCAAGGAAUUGACAGGGGCCCGCACAAGCGGCGGAGCAUGCGGAUUAAUUUCGAUGCACGCGAAGACCUUACCAGGCUUGACAUAUACGAGAACGGCCAGGAAAUGGUCACUCUUUGGACACUCGUAAACAGUGUUGCAUGAUGUCGUCAGCUCGUGUCGUGGAUGUCGGUAGGUCCGCAACGAGCGCAACAUCGUCCUAGUGCAGCACGUCAUGCUGACCUCUAUGCAAUCUGCUGGCUCACUCGAGUAGUUGGACGAGCUCUAGUCGAUG
rnacentral:rRNA from 1 species